rnacentral:rRNA from 1 species
GACGAACGCUGGCGGCGUGCUUAACACAUGCAAGUCGAACGGAAAGGCCCUGCUUUUGUUGGUUGCUCGAGUGGCGAACGGGUGAGUAACACGUGAGUAACCUGCCCUUGACUUUUGUAUAACUUCACGAAACUGGGGCUAAUCCCGUAUAGGAGCUCCUGCUUCUUGCUGGUGAUUGGAAAGUUUCGGCGGUUGUGGAUGGACUCGCGGCUUACCAGCUUGUUGGUGGGGUAGUGGCUUACCAAGGCUUUGACGGGUAGCCGGCCUGAGAGGGUGACCGGCCACAUUGGGACUGAGAUACGGCCCAGACGCCGACGGGAGGCAGCAGUGGGGAAUAUUGCAAAAUGGGCGGAAGCCGGAUGCAGCAACGGCGCGUGCGGGAUGAAGGCCUUCGGGUUGUAAACCGCUUUCGCCUGUGACGAAGCGUGAGUGACGGUAAUGGGUAAAGAAGCACCGGCUAACUACGUG